rnacentral:tRNA from 1 species
GCGCGGGUAGGCUCAGUGGUAGAGCUUUCGAUUUGCAGCUCGAAGGGUCCACUUUGUUCGAACCCGUUCUCGCGCU